rnacentral:misc_RNA from 1 species
GAAAUGCAAUAAGUAAUGUGAAUUGCAGAAUUCAGUGAAUCAUCGAAUCUUUGAACGCACCUUGCGCUCCUUGAUAUUCCGAGGAGCAUGACUGUUUGAUUGUCAUGAAAGCCUGAAACCCAAGUUUUGGAUUUCGAUCCAUGCUUGAGUUUGGUAUUGGAUGUUUGCCGGUGAUGAACCGACUCAUCUUAAAAGUAUUAGCUUGGAUCUGUCUAUAUGACUGGUUUGACUUGGCAUAAUAAGUAUUUUGCUGAGGACAUCUUCGGAUGGCCAGGACCUAGACUACUGUCUGCUAACUAAACCAUCACUUUGAGUGCAUCUUUGGAUGUUACUCAUUGUGUAACUUUGACAUCUGGCCUCAAAUCAAGUAGGACUACCCGCUGAACUUAA